rnacentral:rRNA from 1 species
UACGGAGGGUGCAAGCGUUAUCCGGAUUCACUGGGUUUAAAGGGUGCGUAGGAGGGUAGGUAAGUCAGUGGUGAAAUCUUCGAGCUUAACUCGGAAACUGCCGUUGAUACUAUCUAUCUUGAAUACCGUGGAGGUGAGCGGAAUAUGUCAUGUAGCGGUGAAAUGCAUAGAUAUGUCACAGAACACCAAUUGCGAAGGCAGCUUACUAAAGUAUGAUUGACGCUGAGGCACGAAAGCGUGGGGAUCAAACAGG